UGAGGAAUAUUGGUCAAUGGGCGAGAGCCUGAACCAGCCAAGUCGCGUGAAGGAAGACAGUCCUAAGGAUUGUAAACUUCUUUUAUACGGGAAUAACGGGCGAUACGAGUAUUGCAUUGAAUGUACCGUAAGAAUAAGCAUCGGCUAACUCCGUGCCAGCAGCCGCGGUAAUACGGAGGAUGCGAGCGUUAUCCGGAUUUAUUGGGUUUAAAGGGUGCGUAGGUUGUUCGGUAAGUCAGCGGUGAAACCUGAGCGCUCAACGUUCAGCCUGCCGUUGAUACUGCCGGGCUUGAGUUCAGUGGCGGCAGGCGGAAUUCGUUGUGUAGCGGUGAAAUGCAUAGAUAUCACGAGGAACUCCGAUUGCGAAGGCAGCUUGCCAUACUGCGACUGACACUGAAGCACGAAGGCGUGGGUAUCAAACAGG
rnacentral:rRNA from 1 species